rnacentral:rRNA from 1 species
ACAUGCAUACAACAUAGUGUUAAUGUACCAGAUCUCAUUAGAACUCCAUAGUUAAGCACGCUCAGGCUAGAGUAGUACUGGGAUGGGUGACCUCUCGUGAAGUCCUAGUGUUUUACAUGCC